GCGCCCGUAGCUCAGUUGGAUAGAGCAUCGCACUUCUAAUGCGGCGGUCGCAGGUUCGAAUCCUGCCGGGCGUGC
rnacentral:tRNA from 2 species